rnacentral:lncRNA from 1 species
CUUAGAUCCUGAGUGUCAAGAAAACAUUUGUCUGGUGAAAACAAGUGUGGCCGCUACUGUUUCCAUUUAUAGUGGGGACUCAAUGAAUCUAUUCCCCAUUAUCCAAGAUGCUACCGAGGGAAGACACUACAGAGAUUAUUAGAUUUCAAGAGUAGUCCAACAUUGUUCAGAGCUAAUAAAACAACAGGACAACUGCAACAGCAACAAUAUUUGGGCUUCAUGGGAAAAUGGUUUUUUAGUCUGUGCCCUAAGCAACACCAU